ACUCGCCUCUUCCGUAAGGCGUAGAAGGCCCGCCUCUUCGUUGCCACGCGUCAAGCGUAGAGACACUCUCUCUUCGGUUACGAACGCUUUCGUUCUCUCUUGUUUCCUCUGGAAUCUCUCGUCAGCUUCCCAGCAUCAGAUGAAUCGUCUUCUCUCUUCCUCACUUUUGAUUGAUAAUACUCAUGAUUGGAAGUACAAGCAGAGAGGCCCUUUGGGUAUUGUAUGUUUCAAUUGAAUCAAUGCUCUCUCUGAUGUUUUCCUUGAAUCAAUAGAGAGGAGGAGGGAAGGAUAAUGCAGAAGAAGAGAAGCAGAGCACGGAGCGAAGAUCCUUCUUCUUCCGAGAGCGAAGAAAAAGUUAAGAGGCAUAGAGGAACAUAGAAAGAAGAUGAGAGGAGAAGUGAGAAGAAGGAAAAUAAAUCUCACAAGCACCACUGAUCAAGUUCGUGUAUAGUAUUUCUUCAAUCGUUUCCUAGUAUCUGACCUGAUAUGCGAUAGCAAUAGCAUGUGAUGGCUAGAACCUUUGGUUAUUUGUUACAGUCCGGUUAAAAUUUGAUGUCUUUUUACUGCUUCAUCUUGUUUGAGUAUCUUGAUUUGAUGCAAACAGCUAAGCAUUGUCAAUGUCGAUAAGUUAAGAAUGCUUGAUGGACUGAUGGGGUUUGUCUUUGUGUUCUAGUUCUGAUAUGUAGACAGGGUUUUGUUUUGGUGUGUAGUGAGCUAGAGAGCCAAAAAACGAUGUCGUUUACAGGAACGCAGCAGAAAUGCAGGGCGUGCGAGAAGACAAUGUACGCUAUGGAGCUUCUCUCAGCUGAUGGUGUCCCUUUUCAGAAGUCUUGAUUCAAGUGUUCUCGCUGCAAAUCCACCCUUCAAGCUACACAAUUGAGGUAUGUUCUUAAGCAGCGUGAUAGGUAAUUAUCUAGUGUUACAUGAGAGUGGAGCUUUAAUAACAUAGCAAUGGUGGUAGUUUGAACUCUUUGUGCAUCGGAACUUAGACAGUGUGUAGGUCUUGUUGAAUUGUUCUUUGGUGAAUUGCAAAACUUUGAAGUUAGGUGAUAUGGAUAGCCUUUGUACGUUGAGUUAGAGAAAGGUUGUAUUAUCAGAAACUUGUAUAAAUGAUAUGGAUAAUAAAAGUGUAUUCACAAGAUCAAAUGUUCUUUUUCUAGUUCUUUCUUCCUUCUCAAA